GACCUCAGAGCAGGUGAGACUACCCGCCGAAUU
rnacentral:rRNA from 1 species